UACGAAGGUCCCAAGCGUUAUCCGGAUUUAUUGGGUUUAAAGGGUGCGUAGGCGGGCUAUUAAGUCAGUGGUGAAAUCUCCGAGCCUAACUCGGAAAUUGCCAUUGAUACUGAUGGUCUUGAGUACAUUUGAAGUGGGCGGAAUGUGUCAUGUAGCGGUGAAAUGCUUAGAGAUGACAUAGAACACCUAUUGCGAAGGCAGCUUACUACGCCUAUAUUGACGCUGAGGCACGAAAGCGUGGGGAUCAAACAGG
rnacentral:rRNA from 1 species